GACGAACGCUGGCGGCGUGCUUAACACAUGCAAGUCGAGCGGAAAGGCCACUUCGGUGGUACUCGAGCGGCGAACGGGUGAGUAACACGUGAGUAAUCUGCCCUCUACUUCGGGAUAGCCCUGGGAAACUGGGAUUAAUACCGGAUACGACCAAUGCCUGCAUGGGUUGUUGGUGGAAAGUUUUUUCGGUGGAGGAUGUGCUCGCGGCCUAUCAGCUUGUUGGUGGGGUAAUGGCCUACCAAGGCUUCGACGGGUAGCCGGCCUGAGAGGGUGACCGGCCACACGUGGACUGGGACACGGCCCAGACUCCUACGGGAGGCAGCAGUGGGGAAUAUUGGACAAUGGGCGGAAGCCUGAUCCAGCAACGCCGCGUGAGGGAUGACGGCCUUCGGGUUGUAAACCUCUUUCAGCGGGGACGAAGCGCAAGUGACGGUACCCGCAGAAGAAGCACCGGCCAACUACGUGCCAGCAGCCGCAGUAAUAC
rnacentral:rRNA from 1 species